GACGAACGCUGGCGGCGUGCCUAACACAUGCAAGUCGAACGAGCGAGAGAGAGCUUGCUUUCUCCGGCGAGUGGCGAACGGGUGAGUAACGCGUGAGGAACCUGCCUCAAAGAGGGGGGCAACAGUUGGAAACGACUGCUAAUACCGCAUAAGAUCACAGGUCGGCGUCGGGCCGAGGGAAAAGGAGCAAUCUGCUUUGAGAUGGCCUCGCGUCCGAUUAGCUAGUUGGUGUGGUAACGGCCCACCAAGGCCACGAUCGGUAGCCGGACUGAGAGGUUGAACAGCCACAUUGGGACUGAGACACGGCCCAGACUCCUACGGGAGGCAGCAGUGGGGAAUAUUGCACAAUGGGGGAAACCCUGAUGCAGCGACGCCGCGUGGAGGAAGAAGGUCUUCGGAUUGUAAAGUCCUGUUAUCGAGGAAGAUAAUGACGGUACUCAACAAGGAAGCGACGGCUAACUACGUG
rnacentral:rRNA from 1 species